GUCCCUGUAGCGUAAUGGAUAGCACGUUGGACUUCUAAUCCAAAGGUCGUGGGUUCGAAUCCCACCUGAGAUG
rnacentral:tRNA from 1 species